GAUGAACGCUGGCUACAGGCUUAACACAUGCAAGUCGAGGGGAAGCGACGGGGAAGCUUGCUUCCCCGGGCGUCGACCGGCGCACGGGUGAGUAACGCGUAUCCAACCUGCCUCUGACUGAGGGAUAACCCGUCGAAAGUCGGCCUAAUACCUCAUGGCAUCGUCUGCGGGCAUCCAACGACGAUUAAAGAUUUCAUCGGUCAGGGAUGGGGAUGCGUCUGAUUAGCUUGUUGGCGGGGUAACGGCCCACCAAGGCUACGAUCAGUAGGGGUUCUGAGAGGAAGGUCCCCCACAUUGGAACUGAGACACGGUCCAAACUCCUACGGGAGGCAGCAGUGAGGAAUAUUGGUCAAUGGGCGGGAGCCUGAACCAGCCAAGUAGCGUGCAGGAUGACGGCCCUAUGGGUUGUAAACUGCUUUUAUGCGGGGAUAAAGUGAGGGACGUGUCCUUCAUUGCAGGUACCGCAUGAAUAAGGACCGGCUAAUUCCGUG
rnacentral:rRNA from 1 species